UUUUUUUUUUUUUUUUUUUUUUGGCGAUUAAACCUGUAGCUCAUGUCGGUGUGACUUCUACCAUUUGAUUAAGACCUUACUUGACUAAAGAAAAGCAUUCCAUUUUUCCCAUAUCGAUCAGGAUGAGUCAUCAAAUCUAAUUUCCGCAUCAUCCUACUUUUGCUCCAAAAUGACUUUUGGAACUAUAAUAAUAAUAAUAGGGGUCCCGUACAAUGGUCAUAUACCUAAUCACCCGGAGCCACUUGUAACCUUGCUGCGUCUUUCCCCUACUCUAUUCGGAUUUUCGUCCGACUCACACGUCAAAAAAGUUCUUUUUAUUAAGCUUAUAUAUAUACUACUACUAUUUUUUGUUAGAAUUUUUGAAAUCUUCAUAUAUAUAUAUAUAUAUAGUCUCAUAGAUGCAGGGACUCGUUAUUGUUUUUGAGGUGUGAGUACUCGGAAGUUCAUCGUCCACUCAACUCGUUUGGCAAAAAGUUAACGACUACUUUUUGGGUUUUAACUCCUCACCAGUGCUAUUUGAUACUCAAACGUCAGUAUUUAGGUUCAUUUGGCAAGUGCUUGCUCCGGAGAAUCCAGGUGCGUCUUCUAACGAAUUUCUCAUUGUUAGAUGAAAUCUUUUAUUUAUUUGUUCGAUUUUGAGUUACUCCACAUGACAUCACACACGGGAUCCUCAGAACCACUUUUUCGGUGCCACUUCUAUAUUUAUGCCAAGUGUCCUAUUUAUUUAAUUUGUCAUGUGCUGUUUAUUUGAAUUUCUCCUAUCAUCAUCACGUGAUAGGUGGGAUUGACACUGAAUUUGAUACCCAAUAAUAGCAUAGAGGAUCCCAACUGAUGACAUCAUAUGUUGAGGUGAGAAUUGUGGUCGGUUUAAUGAUGAUCCUCCCGAAAUUAGUGCACCCCCCAACCAUAUUGCUUGCUUUAUUCACAGUAGAAGUGGGGUGCAUUGCAUCUAAAUCGCUCCAGUGAAUUAGAUAUUGAAGUGGACUACCGUGUCCAAUUUAGCAGCUGGUUGGAAAAAUCGUUCGUUCCUUAUUUAGGAGGUAUGAUUAAAGUGGAACUCCUUUUUGAAUUCUUUUUUAAAUAGUGGGGUCGGUUUCAAUAUAUUAGUUGGGGCUUUUUCCUCUUCUUUUCCUUUCUUUUUUUUUUUUAAAUCUAAUUUUGAAGAAACCAAUUUAGUGUAGGUGUUCGAACUUGGUUAGGAUUGGUAGCCCCGAAGUAUUAUCUAUAUAAGAUAUCCGAGGCGCACGAGCGUAUUUAGCGCCUCAGGCUUCUUCUUAUUCCGUCUCUUUCAUCCUCCAGUUUUAUUGUCGGUUACGUUUGCCCGAACUUAAAAAGUCUCUCCAUUAACGGGUAUGCUCGCCACAACUUUCUUUUCCUCUUAUACUCCUCCAAUCUUUACUUUUGCUAUCUUAAGUUGAAUUCUUACCAGUACAUACAUACAUGCAUAUCUAUAUAUAUAUACAGGAGUACAUUCGGAAUUUUUCAUGAAGAAGUUCUUCGUCUAAUUUACUGGAUAUCCUAUGUGUUUUCCAUUGGUUAGAUAUCCAUUUAAGGCUGAAGCCCAAUACAAUCCAUGUUAGUAAUUUUUCUUUUGGGUCUAGUCCAUUGAUGGUUUCUUUAGGUGGGAAAAAAAGAUGGGUUUCUCCGAACGAGGGAAAAAAAAACUGUUAUCUGUUAAAGGUUUUUUUUUUCGACUCAAAGCAAUUGAUGUUAUCUGUUAAAGGUUUGGUCGGUUUCUUUCCUGUUUGUUUCCUAGCCCUGAUGGAAUUGUUGUUGUUGAGAUGGCUGUAGUAUAUUCUUUUCCCCCUAAGUAGAAAUACAAUACAAUACCUGGGUCGGUCGUAAAAAUUCCAACCCCAUGUCGAAGACCCGUAUGGACGUUUACCAUUGCAAGGCCCAACGAUUGAAUAGUACUAUGCCUGACAACUGUUGCUACAGGUAGUAGAAUUUUGACAGGCUCAAUAUGGGAUUCAGCAGAUUGUUUGGCACGACGGCGAGGUAUGGCGUGGAUUACUUCUCAAGAGCAAGAACCGAUAAGAUUGAACCCCACGAAUACAUUGAGGAUGAUAGCCCCGACGAGCUCAAUGCAGCUGAUUCCAAGUACAGUUAUUGGUUGGUGAGUAAAUAAAGGGUUGUGCUCAUCUCAUCAGAUAGCAAAGAAGAAUCCAAGAUGAUGUUUUCCUCUGGAAUUCAAUUCCUUAACUUCCUUUAUUUAUUUGUUUAUUUUUCUUGGAAUUUGGGUAUAUUGUUUAUUCUAUUUUAAUUUGAACGUAGAAAGAGCACCCUUCUGCAUUGAGAGCAUUCCAAGGGAUCAUGAAAGCAGCAGUGGGAAAGCAAAUCGUCAUUUUUUUAGAUUACGACGGGACUCUAACACCCAUUGUGGAUGAGCCCGACCGUGCAUUUAUGUCUGAUGCGGUAAACAUUUGGAAUUAUUCAGACAGCAUUUGAUAAGAAGUUAUAGCCAUCAGUCCGCCACUAACCGCCUAUCGAUAUCGAUAUAGAUAUCAUCAGCGCAGCCGCCCAUGACUUUUUUUGCUUAUACAGUUCUGAAAUGUUGUGAUAUGCAGAUGCGUUCGGCUGUAGGGGAAGUUGCCAAGCACUUUCCGACCGCUAUAAUAAGUGGUAGGAGCCGCAACAAGGUAAUAAACUGCAUGUAAUGCAGUAAUAUUUACGUAUAUUUAAAAAUAUAUAUAUAUAUAUAUAUAUAUAUAUUUUUUAUUAUCAUUUACCUACUUCUUAUCCGAAAGGAAGCAAAACAUAUUAAUUUGCUUCUUCUUUCCUACAUUGAUUUAGAUCCAAAUAUUUAAUUAUGUUAUUUUGUUUCUUGUGUUUAAUUUGUUUUUUUCGCUUUUCAGGUAUAUCAAUUUGUUAAGCUAGAUGAGGUAUACUACGCUGGGAGCCAUGGGAUGGACAUCAUGGGGCCUCCUACGAAAUUGAAGUCCUACUCCUACGAGGGCAAGUAUCACACAAACGCCCUUGAUAAGAAAGUAUGUAAAGCAGGGGUUGACCGUAAAUUGAAAAUACUUGUAUGCAUGUAUAUAGAUAUUGACAAACUAGCUAAUACCGCUGGAUAAAAAUUUGCAGGGUGAUGAACUAUCCAUCUUCCAACCUGCCAAGGAGUUUCUGCCUGCAAUUCAGGAGGUGAGCUGACUCAAAAACACAACAUAGGUUUUUUUUUUUUCCCUGUUAUUCGUUCUAAGCUUAAAUCUUGACGUUGACAACUACAGUAGGAAGUAUGAAGGACCGACCUUUGAUGUUUUGUGGCGAAUUUUGCUUUGAAUUUCCUGUGAUGGUGAUACAACUGCUAUAUUUUUUGUUACUUGUUCGGAUUCAAUCAAGCAAAUUUCUUGUGCUUCACCAGAUAUUAGAUAAGAUGCAGAAGGGAACCAGUGACAUCGAAGGUGUCUUAAUCGAGGAUAAUGGGUUCUGCAUUUCUGUUCACUACCGACAUGUUGCCCAAGUUGUAAGUUUUACAGCAUCGUUCUUGUCACUUGAAUAAUCAGCCCAAAAAUGAUGACAAAUUCGGACUUUGUAAUAAAUACCCAUUAAUUAUCAGUAUUUUUUGGGGUUUUCCGCAGGAUUAUGGUCCAUUAGAAAAGAAGGUUCUGUCGGUACUUGCAGGGUACCCACGCUUUCAUCUGACGAGAGGCAAAAAGGUUUUAGAAAUCAGGCCAUCGAUACAGUGGAACAAAGGCAAUGCACUGGCUUACUUGCUUGAUACCCUUGGCUUUGCAAGUUCCAGCAGAGUUCUCCCAAUUUAUAUUGGAGAUGACAGAACUGAUGAAGACGCUUUCAAGGUAAUCAUUAGUUAUUUUUUGAAGAACCGUGAUUUUUACUGCUUAAUAUGUACUGGUAAAUUUUCGAGAUUAGACGGUUUGAUGGCUGUUAAGGCACACGAAACACGAAAGUUUAAUUCUUGACUGGAUUGUCCAGGUACUUCGACGCAGGGGAGUAGGAUAUCCUAUCAUCGUCUCUUCGGCCCCAAGAGACACUUUGGCUUUAUGCUCCUUGCAAGAUCCUUCAGAAGUGUUAUCUUUCUUGAUACGUCUGGCGAGGUGGGUGUCCUCCUGAUUAAUUCUCUCUUCAGAAGUGUUUUCGGGGAUGUGGCUGGUGUACAUAGAUGAGAGAUACAUCUUCAUAUCAUGGGACUUGAAGUUUUAGGCAGGUCCCAGUAGACACUAGGUUGUUAUUUCGUGUACAGCAAUCGGAAGGUCUGCACUGCGGUUUUUGGUCUAGUGCAGAUAUCAGCUGAAGUUUUUCAACCCAAGACUUUGAUGGAGGAACCCAUGACAAGAAGAAUAAAGAAGAAACAACACCCCCUGCCCUUAGUAUUACGUCUGAGCUGCAUUUUAAUUAAAUUCAUCAACCAUCCUGAACUCCUGAUGCUAAACUAUCCAUUUCCAUGCUCUUUCUAAUCUAUAUAUAAACUUGUAUUUGAAGUUGGCUGUAUUCGAGUAUAGAUAGAACAACUCUUGGCAGCAAAGAUUUGCGAUGCCCAUGGGUGCAGGUUUCUUCCUUCUACAAUUUUCUAUUUGGGUCAAGAAGUCUGGGCUGGUUCUGGAAGUCUUGGGAGCCUACGGAUGACGAAUCGGUGGAGAUUUUGUCCAGUUUAUCGCCUUGCGCUAUAAGAGCAUCUUUAGCAUUUUUGAAGCGGGUAUUAAUUCAGCAAUGAUCAGAUUUUCACUGGCGGCCCAUGUUCUUGUCCUGUUCACUAGAUUUGGACAAACGAAGCUUGAAGCUCUGGGUAUAAAUCUACCCCCCAAAUAGGCAUCAAUCGUUUUAUUAUUAGCUUGGGCAAGAGAAGGAAACGUGGGCGAAUAAUAAUCAACCCUCAACCCCCGCUAGAAAACCUACGUAUGCCGGGUGGUACGGCAAGGAUUGUACCCUCCAAUGAUUGGGUUGGAUGAAGCCCAGCAUCCAUGUCACGUAUUCUCACUUGUCUUCUCCAUCUACAGUCUGCAGCCUACACGCUUUUUUUUUUUUUAUAUAUAUAUAUAUAUAUAUAUAAAAAAGAAGAAGAAAAAGGGUGGUAGUUCCAUUCCAUCUUCUAUGUAGAAUAAUCUAUGUGCAUGAUUUCACUACUACUGUCUCUCACCUGUCGUCACUUGCCUUUGAUUAAUCACUUCACCCACCAAAUAUUUUUCUUUGUAUGAUUUGCAACGGCACGCGUGAUAACCGAUCGAUUGUCAUUGUCAAUUGGUAGCUCUUUCAAAACCUGUCCGUUUCAGAAAACAAAGAGUGAUGAUACCCAAUUACGUAAAUUUGCUUGGAUUGCCGAGUUUUUCAAAUACUAUUAAAAUUUUUAAAAAGCACUCUAAAAAGUAGUUUAAAUUUUUUUUAACAUUUAAAAAAUAUCUUAAAAAAUAUUUCAAAAUAUACUAUAAAAAUUCUGUUACAGUAAAAUUUUUCAACUAAAAAAUAGUUAAUCCAAACACAAUAGUCUUUUUUUUGGGACUCAGAAAAUAGUAAAUUUUUUUUUUCUUUAUUGUCAUGUCAUGGGGACAACAUCAAUCAAAUAAUAAUUUUAGCUCACUUCGUUCUCUUUUGUAGCCUACCAUACUAGUAACUAAUAAUAACAAGUCGUAGUUGUACAUCGUGGAUGCUCCCAACCACCCACCACUUGGGAUGUAUCAAAAAUUAGAACUACCCUUCUGUACUCGGAUGCUAAAAAAAGCAAGGGCGGCUGAGCAAGGCCAUUGGUCCCUGGCCCAACUUGGAACUCUCUCUUGGGUUGGACACGUUUUGACUCUCUGGCCUUUCCCACCCGCGCACCCCACUCAGGAUCCUCGUGUCUUCAGCAAUCACAACUCAAGCUAAGGCAGCUGACACAUAACUACCAGCCAGUAUGAUUACCAUUAAUUCUUUUAAGUAAGUAAUUUAACUAAUUUUUUCUUUGCUUUUUUUUUAAAAAAAAUAAUAAUAAAUAAAUAAAGCGAGUAUGAUUAAUUUGGUGAUUUACCAAGUCCACUUGUGGAUUGAUUAUCGAUUCAAUCCUCAUUUUCUCUUCUAGAACAGAGCCUAAAGUACGAUCGUAAAAGACUUCCAAACAAACGCAUUUCAUGUAUGUCCAAUGAAUGGAUUACCUAUUAGAAAGGGUUAUCAUCCGUUUGUUCUGCCGCAGAAUCUAGUCUAGUCAAUGGAGCAAGUCCGUGUCCGCUUGUUGACUAUCAAACAAAUGAACGGUACUCAAGUGCCAGUCUCAUCAACAUAAGUAGAUAACAUGGCAACUCCAUUCAGCCAGAAUUUUCGUCGUCCUCUCACGUGCCCGGCAUGUGGAUUGGAAUCAUCAUGUUGUUCGCGCAUCGCGCGUUAGUUUUCCCAUCUGGCCUCGCCUGCCAGUGUCCCAUGUGCCCGUGCUUCCGUCUUUCUGAUCUUCUGCUGCAUUUGCUCUCUUCCCGCUGCAUUCUCUCUCCCAUUACAUUCUCUUUCUUUCUUUUUUUGGUUUUUUUUGGGAUAAUGUUGCUCUAUCACUUAUCCGCAUCCUCUGGAACCUGGUACAAAAUUUUGUUGACCUCCUCCUUUGUUUUGUUGUAAUAGGCUUUCUUCUUCAUCUCCGGUGAGGUCAGAUCUUCUCUUCGGGUUACCUCUGGUCUGCCCCUCUUUUUGUUUUUUUUGUUUUUUUUUUUUUGGCUAAAGUUCGUAUUUCUUUUGUCCCUUGUCCACUGACGUGCAGUUUUCUCUUUUUUUUCUCAUCCACGGGCUUGUUACCGCCCAAGGACGUGCCAUCUUCACUGUUGGUUGCAGAUCUUGUGCUUUCUUCUUUCUCUCCAGUGAGGUCGGGUCUUCUCUUCAGGUUGCUCUGUAUUCAUGUUUUUCUCCUCCUCUGUAAAAACUUGUUUGAUGCUAAUGGUUCUUGUGUUUUGUUGUGCAAGCAUUUUUUUCAUUGCUUUUAGGAGACUGGUUUGUGAUUUCUUUGGUAGCUGGGAUUUGGACUCUGGAAGCCGUUUGUUUGGCUGCCCCUCUUUACUUGUCUUUCCCUCUCCUCCCCAUCAUCAAAUUCCAGCCACAUCUUCUAAUGUAGCUCUCUACUACUUACAGACGGAAUCCGCAGUAGAAGUUUCUGAACUGAAAAAGGAAAGCUAAUCUCAGGGAGAUAGAUAGAAGAGAAGGUACGAUGGCGUCCAAGAUGCAGAGUAUCGCGGUUCUUCAGACCGAGAAUAACCUUGCAACCGGAGGUAUAUUUUCUUCAACUUUCUUCCUUCUCUCAAUAUCUCAAUCUCUCUCUUUCGCGCUCUUUUUUCUUUUGUUUCAAUUAAUCUGAAUUUCUAUCUACAUUUCAACGGAGUAGUAGUAUAUCGUCCUUAAUUGGUGCACAACAUUAGGAAAUCUUGUUCUCUUUCGUUGUUUCCCCUCUUUAAUAAUCGAACCACUUCAAGAAAAAAACCGACCUUGGGAAUUAUUUUGCCCUAAUACCCAUUGUGGGUUUCGUAAAUUUUGGUAAUUUAUUAUAUUUAGCUAAGAGAAUUGGAGGUUUUGGUAUAAUUUGUGUAAAAUUCCACGAUUUUUCGGCUAGCAGUUUGGGCUUUAGAAUUGCUGGCUUUGUCUGAAUUUUUAUCUCUUCUAUAUUUAAUGGAUAUCUGAGGAUCAUUUAGUAUCUGAAACUAAUAAAUCUACCAACGCUUACAGUCAUGAGUGUAGAGUUAACUAAAUAUGUUAACCUCUUUAUGAAUAACUUUUUAAGGACUUUUAUGCUAAUUCUUCGCAUUCAAAAAGGAGAUAAAUGGAAGAAACAUUAUUUUCUGAUAUUAGAGACACCUGCGGGAAAGAAGAUGAUAGCAAGUUACUGACCCCAGGUAGUAUGAGAUGAGAUUGUAUUGUAAUUGAGCAGGGUUCACUUAUCAUAAUAGAUUGAAUUUUGUAGUUUUGAACUGAUACAUUGUUCUUUUGAUUGACUGAAUGGCAAUUUGGGAGCCAUGCAGUUUGUUUUUCUUGUUUUUAUUUUCUUAUAAUCCAAACCUGAAAAGGAUUUGUUUUUUUCUCUUCCGAGUGAUUGUUUGGUUUUCCAAAGAUUUAAAUUUUCCAGAGAUUGAUUGUUUGGUUUUCCGAAGGUCAAUCUCUUUAACCCAAGAAAAUAAUAAUAUUAAACUGAAAAACAACAAAAAUGUUGUCUUGGGAAACUAUUGUUUAUUUACAUGGCUUGAAAGUUGAAAUUGCCAGAAACAAGAAGCUCACUUUCUCUGAUGGUCAUAUUUCUUCAUCAGGUUGACCAUUGCCAAAAAGAAGAGCUUAGCUACAAGACAUCUCAUAGCAAUAUCACGUCUUAUUGUUGAAAAAUUUGAUUUUAUGGUAGUGUUUGUAGGUUGAGUUAUGACCCAUGAUUUAUGCUCAGGCCCUUAAAAUGGAGAUAUAUAGUUAAGAAAAGUAUAAAGGAUUGGGGUGGCUUCAACAUUUACCUUCAACUAAUUUUCCUUGUGUUUUUCCUUUUUGAAUUCAGCUUUGUGGAAAUUGUGGCUCCUGUUUUCUCGCGGGAUGCUUGGCGAUGUGUUUGGCAUAUGAUUCAGGUUCCCUUCUCUAACUUUGUCAUUUGUAUACGUAUGUUUUAAGCCUUGUUGUACCUCCAACUAUUUUUGCUUUUAGCUGCUCUCAUUAGCCUUGGUUCUUUCCAGCUUAGAGCUCACGCUGAUUUUUUACUUUCAAUAACAUUUCUAGAAUGAUUUGGUGCAUGGUUGGGGAUUGGAUUUUGCACUAAGGAGAUGUGUGGAGGUCAGUGGUUUUAUUUGUUUCUUAUCACUGUAUUAUUUGAAAGAUUUAGAAAAGAAGGCUUGUCUACCUGCUUUUCAUAUUCCUGUUGGAAGGAGAGAUCUGCGGGACAGUGGCAUGUAAAACAGAUAAAAUUGGAAAACAUGUAUGUAUUUCAAAUGGAUGUCUGCGUAUUAUCAGUUUCAUUGUAAGUGUAUUUUGCCUGUGUAGCCUGCACAUGAGAAAAUUGAUGUGGUUGACUCUCAGUGGAUAGUUCAUCAAGUUAUUCCUUCUCUGGGAAGUCAGGUCAGUUAACUACUUUAUUACAACCAUCGGGACUUGCUUUUCCUUUUCCUAGAGGUGAUUAAAAUAAUGAAGUUUAGUUGUUUGCAAAUGUUGUUCUGUUCAACUUUAAUUUCCAUUUUUGAGCAAAUGGUUCUUCAUUUAUAAAAUAAGCAACUUUUUAGCAGCAACCCCCUUAUUUACAUUUUUUUCUUCCACGUCAAUUAUCCUACUUGUCCCUUGAUCUGGUUUCCCCUCAUUUAGAUUUGUUUUGUUGAUAAUGAUGCUAACAGCUUCAGCUUCGUUGAUUCCAGGGUCAAUCUGAAAAUGGAAAAGCUCCUUGGCAAGGGGUAUGUAAGCUGUUACUUGUUCGGUUUCCAUUUCAACCUUUCUGUAUAUUUUUUUAUUGAGGCCUUUUCUUUGUCCUUCGUUUUUUUUGCAAAAGUCAACUCUGAAAGCUUCUUCAUCCAAUUUUAUGGUAAUCUGAGUUAUUCUAUAUCACCUACAUUCUAACAAUCAUGUUUAAAUUAGGAUUCAUAGGUCUUAUAUCUGCACUCUGUUUGAAUUGCAUGAUUUUGCAUUGAACUGAAUUUCAUUAGAUUUGUCCAAACGUCAAGUAACUAGCUUGAAUUCUUUUCUAUCUAAUUUGGUAGGUAAGAGAGAGGUGCAGAAGUGAGUGGGUGCAGUUUCAAGAUCGCCUAGCCAAUGCAGAUAAGAAAUAUAUUGAACAGUUUGGGAGGACUUUGAAUUAGCUAAUUUCUGGUUAUUACCCGUAACUUUCUUCAUUUUCUUUUGUCCUUUUUCCAUCUUUGUAUCAUUGUACGGAAGGGUGUUUUGGAGCCCAAUUCUCUCACUCGAUGUCUUUAAAAUUUUUUUUUUUUUGCUUCUAGCGGGCGGUAGCUGAACUUCCUGUAGUAGUGAAAACUAACGAUCUGAAACUGGAAGAGAGUGAUCCUUUUUUGUGUAUAAAUAGAUUAGACUUUGCUUCAUUUGACUCCCAUAUUGCCAAUAUUCAUUUCCUUUUCUUUCUUUUUUCUUUUCCUUCUAUUUUUUUUCGCCCUUUUUUGCCCUUUUCUAUUUUCUUGAGACGGGGAGGUGUGGGUGGGAAUCCGUUGGUUGCCUCAUACUGAACUCACCCGCUUACAGUUGUUAUUUGGAGAACCAUCCCCUGUUACCACUUUAUUGAGCUUAUUACCAUCAGUAGUGGGAUUAUAUGAGUUGGAGUACUUACCUACUUUAUGUUUAAUAUUUCACUAUUAAGUUGCGAAUUUGGAGACGGAAUUUCUGUUAUAUGCCAAAUUUCUAAUAUUCUGGGUAUCUCUUUUGCAGGAACGAGGUAUUUGAACAACAGAAAGUUUUGUAUCCUUCUAAGUUUUCUUGCAUUUGGGUAUUGAUACUACUCACCUUUAUUGCUCUGACUCCUAUUUCUUUGCACAAGUUCCCUUUGACCUGCAAUGCUUCUUUACUUUUUUUUUCUCUUAACUUCUUGUAGCUCUGAUUGGAAAAGAAAUAUAGAGACAUUGGAGAAAAUAGUGUAACCAGUCUGAGGACAUUGAUCAAUCUUGGUUCUGAAGUGUACAUGCAAGCUGAUGUGUAUGUCUCUUCAUACCAUAUCAAUGUCAUUUUACUUGGUUGUUCAUAGGAUUAGUAUACAUUUGAAGUGUUUAUCAAGAUAUGAAAGAAUUCAUUUCUUUUUUGUUUGAGGUGUGUGUGAUUUAUUAUAACUAUAUAUGUUUGUGUCUGCCUAUGCACUGAAAAAAAAAAGAAAGUAUAUGGUACCUUAGUUGUUCCAAGUAUGUCUUCAGCUAUGGUGAACAAAGUGUUGUAGGUUCUUUGGGCUACGAGCUUGGGUUUUGGUAGUCUCAGUACCAGAUGGAAUCAUGUUAGAUUGAUAUAGGGUGCAAGAGAAGUGUUCUUUACUUGAUGUGAUGGUGCUUACUGUAAACAAAUAUGAGAGAUAAUUGCAGAAACAAGGCAAAAACAAUCAAUUAUGGGGACAGUUCAAAACUUUAACAGCUUACGAAUAAGCGAUCGAACCUGAAUUUAUCUUUCCUGAUUUCCAAUUUUCAACUCUAGAUAUUCCCCAGGCAAUCACGACCUUCAAGCUUCUCAUCAUAACUAUGCGUCUUUAGGAAACAUCUGUUUUUUUGAACUUGAUAAGUGGAGCCGAUCCAUGUAUUCUUAAGGUAGCUAUGUCAAUGAUUGAGUUGGAAUGGAACAAACAAAAGAGAAUGAUUUAUAAUGUCAAUGUAUCCAUGAAUGAUUUAUAAGCCUAUGUGCUUGAUUUAUCAACUCUAGAUAUAUUGAGUGAUUGAGUUGGAUCUAUUACAAUUAUCUAUUGAUUGAAUACCUUGAGCUUUUUGCCAAAAUCUGUCUCAAAACUGAUUUUGAUUUGUAGCUAUGGUACAUUUGCUACUUGAGGUUGUGAUGGUUAUGUUGAUGUGUGGGAUGGAAACAAUAAAAAAAGGCUGUACCAGUUAUUUUUCCUUAAUUGAAUUUGAAAUGUCUUCCGCUCCAUGACAACAUUUGUCAGUUUUUUAUCAUACUUGUUAUAUUUGUCAAAACAAGGGUUCUUUUUUUUUUUUUUUGUUUUUUGCCUCUGAAUUUGAGAUUAUGAUUUCUUUGUUAUACUAACUUAUUCUAUUGUUCGUGGAAAUUUAUUACUUUAGCUCAUUUUUCUGAAAGUGAUCAAUUGGAAUGCUAAAGCAAGAUGAAUUGUAUUAGAGACUUCUUUUUGUUUCAGACUUUGACAAAUGCUGUUUUAUAUCCUGUAAAUGAUGUUCUUCUGUGUUUGGUUCUUUCUGCGAGAUGUUACUUUUGCUUCGGUGUGUUGUGUAUAAAGGCAUCUUCAUAAGUUACUUGUGUGAGUGCUGUUUUGAAUGAUUACACUUAUUCUUCUUGAAUGAUUUUGAAUGCUUUUGACUGAAUAAAUAGUGUGUGCAGACUAGGAAUUCAUUGGUUAUUUUGAAUGAUUUUGAAUGCUUCUAAUUUUUUGCUGCAGAAUUCUGAACUGACUGCUCAUGUGGCCAAGCAGUAAAGAGGAAGGAAUCUGCUGUCCUAUGUUAGGCAUUGUCGUUUGAUUAUGAGUGCAGUUUCAUUGGAUGUUUUUUAGUUAAUGUGUAUUAUGUAGUUAUAGUUGUUAGAGGACUCAAGCACAGAAAUUCUGUAAUAGCUAGGUUGUUGCCAUUUCAGUUUGUUGCCAUUCUGUAAUAGCUAGGUAUGUAUUGAUCAUAUAAUUUCUGAAGCAUUCUUGAUGGGAGAAAAAGACUUUGGGGUAAAGAAUCAAGAAAUCAUAUAGAGAACAAAGUUGAAAUUAAUGUAAGACGAGACCAUACAGCUUUCCUAAGAUUGAUUCUUUAUUUGGUUCAUUAUUUCUGAAAUAAGUUAAAUUCUUUGACCACCUUUUUUUUGCACAUUACUUAUUCAUUUUUUUGUGUUCAUCCUAGAUUAGAUUAAUAGUUUAAAUAUACUUUCCACAGUAAUUAAUUUAUAAUCAGUUCCACAAUUUAGGUCUUGGUUUUCUUUUUAUGACGUUGGUAUAAUAACCUAUAAAAAUGUUGGGUAUAUCAUAAUUGUUAAUGUGUCUAAAACAAAAUGACUUCUUAUAUACAAAACAAUUAAUGUCAUUCUUAUAUACAAAACAACUAAUGUCAUUUUUAGUGUGAAAUGUCUUAUUGAAUUUCACUUUGUGUAUUUCAAGCUUCUCUGGCCUCCAAAGACGAAAAUUCGCUGAGAAGACAAGAGCAACAGCCGUGAUGAAAGGAUUGUUUUACUACCAUUACUUCCUUACAAGGACUAAGGACAAUUCAUGAGGUCCUAGAAUCCGGUAUUUAUUACUACCAUUAUAUAUAUAUUUUUUGCUUAGACGGUAUUUAUUAUGGCUGAUAUGGUUUCUUUUGUUACUUUAUAAACAGAUCAUGAAAUCUCAGAAUCAGUUCUCCAUCGUAUUGUCUCAUCUAUGAAUCCAUUCCUAAAACAUGACUGGACUACAUUCAAUUGCUUCUAUCAAUUUUAUCUAUCAAAGUACAAGUACAAGCUGGUAUAGUUUUGCAUUCUCUAACCUUAUUAACUCUCUUUCUUUUGUACAUAUGUGUAUUUACUUAUCACAAUUUUUUUUCAUACAUUUAUAGGAUCUACCAGAAUUUGCGAAUCUAAGGCUAAAUGAAGAUAGUACGACGACUAUAACUCUUACAAAUAGUCAUAAAUAUUAUCAUGUUGGUAUGACCGGCAGAUGUUUUGAUCAAAACUGGAACCGUUUUGUUAUUGAUCAUGAUCUAAAAAAUGGCCAGAUAUUGCUUUUUAUUCCACAAUCCAAGACUCCCUUUGUUGUGCUGGUGUUUGACCGCAAAGGAAUAGAGAAGUUGUUUCUAUGGCAGUUUGCAUUUUCCAUUUGAUGGCACAUCUGAUUUACGUUGAUUCUGCUUCAACGCAAUGCACGGCAUUUGUUGUAUUUAUGUUCUUAAUGGAAAAAAGUUCUGGUUAGAAAAAUGCUUCCAAAGCACUGCAAAUUUAAUGUUUAGCAAGUUCCUACUGUUGUAAACAACAAUUGAAGCUUUCAUAAUGGAUGUUCCAACGGCAUUACUUAUUAAACUUUGAUGUUUAGCAAUAAAGUUGAUCCUACCUUUGGUUACAAAAAACAAAUGGCUGGUAUAUAUUAAAUUUAGAAAAAUGCUCCAUUAAAUUUGCAUUAACAAAACUUCAGAGUUUGGAAGUUCCUAUUAAAAAUUUAGAAAUUUAAAUUUGCAUUUCAGACUUUGGAAGUUUAGCAAAAUUUAGAAAUUCAGGCUUUGGAGGUUCCAAAGCACUUCCAUUAAAUUUAGAAAUUUAGCAACUUCCAUGAAAGUUUGUAGCCAAGAAAUAUCAACAAACCUUCAGACUCAUGGUAUAUAUAUACUAAAAAAUGUACAUUUCUAAAUGAAAUGUUAUUUUUCUUACUUCAGAAAUGGAAUGGGCAUUUUACAUUACUAUCGCGCGAAGCGCGUUAUUGCCUCCUAGUCCGAACAAAAGAGUGGAAAUAACGGGUGACAAAGGACCUACCAUUCCAAUUCUAACCCAAGUUGAAUUCGCGCCGUCAAUUUGCUUUAAAAAACCUUUCUUUACCGUAAACAACGAGUUAAGUAAUUAUUAUGCAGGGCAACAAGAAGAGGAUUUUUUUUGUUAUGCAUCUCCACCCCCCAUCUUUUUUUUUUUUUUUUGGGUUAGGAAAUUAAUUGUACGUAGUGAUCGAUGAGUGUGUUUUGAUUGUAAGUUAUUUGUCCAAAUAUCGUUUUGUCUUACAUCACAAUUACAAUUUCCCAUACACCUUUUUGUCUUCACAAUUAUCUUUUUAUCUCACAUACAUCACAUCACAAAAAAAGUGCUACAGUAAAAAUAUCUCAAAUAACUUACAAUCCAAACACACUCGUGACGGGUUUCCUCACAUGGUUGCUAACAAAAAAUAAAUAAACGAUGAGUUAGUUACUUUUAUUGCAAAAAAAAAUCGACUCUUGUCCAACCAUGCAAUACAUUUCAUCUGUUAAACGUACAUUUCAUGUACGCCAAGGAACGUGAGAAGAGCCGCCCAAAAAAAGGUAGUACUACUUUUCUAUAUUUCUUGGGCGCGGCAGGCAAAUUGCAUGUGUUGAAUGCAUGCUGAACACGUUAUAUAUUUAUUUGAGAGUGAUAAAUUGAAGCGAGUAAUUGGUGACUAGCUCGUGUUAAGAAUCAAAAUUUGAAUUCAAUUAAAUUUAAGGAAGUGAUUAAGGAGUUUCAGUUUUUGUAAAGUGCCUCGUGUUUGUGGGAUUGGAAAUCUUUCAUCCCAUUUACUUGCUUAAUAUAUGCUUUUGGAGUUGGUUGUGCCAUGAUACGGUGAUAAUUUUCCUUCCCAUAAACGAUUCGAUGAAAGAAUGGACAUCUGGUUUUUCCUAAAAAAAAGAAAAAGAAAAAUCAGUAAUUAUUAAUACAUUUAAUGGCGCACUUACUAAUAAUAAUAAAAAAAUAGUAUUGAUACAAUAACGUGUCAACGGCGCUAACAAUGUGGUACCUGCUUAAAAGGAGCAUGCAAUAGCCUUCCUUUAGGAACAAGGAAAAAAUAAAUAAAUAAAACAGAGCACAAGUAAUUCCGUAUUGGUGGAGCGGGGAUAGGGAUUGGGAGAAUAAAUAUGAAAUACAACUAACAGCGGUAGAGCGUGGCAAUCUCAAACUUAACGCUCUCGGCGGCGGAAAACGACAAAAUGAGCUGCAGUCCCCCCGCCGCCCCCGGGGGGCUGGGUUUGGAUGUAACCGUAACGGUGAAUAAUCAGAAUGAGCCAGCCAUGACCACGAGCACGAGCCAGCCAAAAAAAGAGGAAAGCCACGUGAACCGAAGACGUAAAUACAGGGCGAGGUCGGGGUUAUUUUGGUCUCCAUGAGAUUUAAUCUCAAUGGCAGCGCAAGACGACAAAAACAGUGGCUCGCCUCAACAGAUAUAAAGUGUAUUAGGAAGGUAUUGAAGGGCAAAACGGGGAAAGGCAAGAAAAGCCGCGGCCAGUCUCUGUCUCUGUCUCUCCCUCCCUCCCUCCCUCCCUCCCUCCCAUACAAGGAAACGGAAUGGAUGAUUGUGGAUUGAGUGAGAUGAGAAGCAUCGGCGGCAGCAAAUACUGCUACUACUAGCAAAGACGACGGCGACGAUUUAUGCAUAAGACUCGACCACACCAGAGUAAGAAGUAUAUUAUUAUUCAUUCUCUCAUAUAGAAUACUAACGAAUGUGUAGUAGCAGUCUGGUAUUAUAAUCAUAAAUAAAAUAGUAUGUAUCCUCCAAUAAAAAUUUCGGUCCCGUUAGUUGAAUAGAUAUUGAUGAGUACAUACAUGGAAUAAAAAAUAUAUAUAUUUUGAUAAAUAAAAGCGUGAUUGCGUGAAUGUUAUUGAGUGCCCGCAAUUUAUAUAUUUUUAAUUCCUGAAGUGAUAGAAUAAUAAUGAUAAUUUUAAGCAGUUAGUAGCAAGUAUUAUUGGGAAUUGGCGAUGAAUUGGUGAAUUCAAUUACAGAUUCAAGUCCUUGCUGCUUACUGCUGCUGCUGAGUUUGCAAGCCUUCGUCUGAGUUGAGUUGACUCGUCUCCUCUGUUCUCGUCUCCUUUGCAGCGUCCAAGAUUCAACCGUACUUUCCUCCUCAGUCGUUUCUUCUUUAGGAGCAGUCUUUCGGCUUCGUGCAUUACGGAUACGGAAUAAUUUCGCCGGCGGGUCGUUGAUUGUUGGAUGUCAAGAUGAACGCGGCCGAGAACGGAUUUAGCGGAGCCGAGAGAGAGUACAUUAGGAAGCAUCACAGUCAUCAGCCGGCUGACAAUCAAUGCAGUUCCAUUCUCAUCAAGCGCAUCAAAGCUCCCGUUCAUCUCGUAUGUUUUCCUUAUCCUUUUAAGUCCUUUCUGUCUUCCGUUAUAGGACUCUUGUUUGUUUGUCUGCUCCGUGACUGCUUCUUGUUGGAUCGGCUGAUUGAUUAGUUUGAUUUCUAGAUUGAGCAGAUUCGGAUGAGGCUUUGUUUUUUGUUCUUUUCGACGAGAUUUCUUCACGUUUUACUUUGCGAUUCGUGAGUUUUGGAUGAUUUUCUUGUUCUUGAGUCUUGAUGUUUGUGUUUCAUCCGUUGACCUACUUUUACCCGGUGCUCUCUGUUUGCUAGAACGGGUUUGAUUAGAACCUGCGACCAAUUGGAAUUGAAAGAAAGAUUAGGAAAUUCUUCUAUCCUUUCUAUUUUUUCAAUAUAUUGUGAUAAAGUUAAAAUAGAAGCCAAGGAUUUGGAUCAAGUGCUGCUAAUCUGAAAUUAUUGCUUUCCUCUUUUGUGUUCAUUAAAUUCCGUAAAAUAGGAGAUGAAGGGAGAGAUUCAGAGUUCGUGUACUUAUUAAACGUGAUGAGCGGCAUGCAUUGGCUUUUUCUACGGGGACAAUUACAAAUUCUUGACACUGUACUACAUUUCAUGAAAUUCAUACGAAGACAAUAUUGUAAUUUAUAUCAAAAAUAGAUUGAGAAUUUUUACCAUGAUAUGCCAUAUUUGUUGAGAAUCACUUAUAAAUUUGUUGAAGAAGUGCAGAUGAAAGUCGUAGUUCAUUUGGAAGGCCAAUAUGUGUAAUUUUCAAAUUUGUUACCCUGUGUAUUUAAUUUUUAUCUAAACAUGAAUAGAUAUUAAUCUUUUCUGGUAAUUCUUUUCUUCCCAGAGUCUCUUUUAUGGUCUAACAUUUGGUAUAUGCUGGUUUCUUAAGGUUUGGUCUCUGGUUAGGAGGUUUGAUCAGCCCCAGAAAUAUAAACCAUUUGUCAGCAGGUGUGUUGUACGGGGAAAUCUUGAGAUUGGAAGCCUUAGGGAAGUGGAUGUCAAGUCAGGGCUUCCCGCCACUACCAGCACUGAGAGGUUAGAGCUUCUUGAUGAUGAAGAGCAUGUGCUCAGUGUGAGAUUCAUUGGAGGUGAUCAUAGACUCAAGGUAUAGUUCCCCAUCUCUGCUCUUGAAUUUCUCUUUCUUAUGACCUCUUCACAAUGACUAGAUGUUUUACCAUUAUGGUGAUUGAUACAUACUCUCUUGAUGGAGUGGUCACUUUUUCUUGAGCGUUAUGGUGAUUGAUACGUACUUGUGUAUCAGCUUUCUAGUGGAGUGUGCAAUAGUUUGGGCCUUAUGUUGAUGCAUUUGUAUAACAGUUUUCUAGCACAGUUUGAAAUGGCUUGAACAUAAUGAUGAUUCAUUUGUGUAUCAGUUUUCCUACUUUCAUGAAGUUCAUUGAACAUAGUAUUAUAUUUACAGAGUUUGUUAAAGGAAGAAGAAAGGGGGGGGGGGUGGUUGGCCUUCUAAUGCUUAAGUGUGAACGUUUUCCUUUUUGUAUUCUGGCAACUUGUAUUAGUUCCUUGAAAUUCUGUUAGACUUCAAGUUGCUUGCCUUCCUUCUUCAGUAAUACAUCCAUGGCUUAACACAUAAUUUCAUGUUCCCUGCCCUCUUUCAGAACUAUUCCUCAAUUAUUUCAGUCCAUCCAGAAGUCAUUGAGGGACGACCAGGAACCCUCGUCAUUGAGUCUUUUGUUGUGGAUGUGCCUGAAGGAAACACCAAUGAUGAGACUUGCUAUUUCGUUGAAGCAGUGAUCAAGUGCAAUCUUAAAUCACUUGCUGAUGUUUCAGAGAGGCUUGCUGUGCAGGACAGGAGUGAACCCAUUGAUCGGGAAUGAGGAAACUGGGAAGAUCUAUUUUAGGCUAUAUUCGCCAAGGAUGAAGCUUCUAUCAAGAGUUAUGAUUUUCUGAGGCUUCGGAGGCUGACUGGUGGAAGCUGGUUGUCCAUAUUGCAGAGGCUUAUGCUGCUUUCUCGUUCCUCUUUUGUUCACUAUGUUACACUCUUUUUUAUUUCAAGUCUUAUUGAACUCUCUGUUUGUAGUAGCCCAAGAACCACAGAUUUUAUAAAGGUUUCAAACCCCAAAAAGAAUGUCAAAUGCACGAGCAAAGCAAUGCUUGAUGUGUCUGUCUUUCUGGUUUUGACUCUGUUGGUAUGUCAUACUUUUUAAGAGUUGUAAAUAUAGAUGUAUGUGGCGGAGGGUACUAAUGUAGCUAUAUUCUCUCUGCUGAACUUUUACUUCGCUUUACAAAUUACAAUUGCAGUUUGGAGGAAACUAUUCUGGGUGGCGGAGUAAUGUUGUACAUGCGUCGACUUGCAUGCAAUUCAGUAGCUUGAGACUAGACUUUUAAAUUUUUUUUGUACUUGAAUCAAUUUAAAGAUCAUGCACUUUAUAAACCCUAAACCCUUGGGGUUAUGCUGGAUGAAGAAAACAGGCGGCAACGAAGGGCCGCACUCUCUUGAAUUGUCCUCGAUCUUAUUAGCAUUCGACUAAAAAAUGUAAUUGAAUCAAAAUAACAAAAAAAAAAAAAAUUUCAAAAAAAAGACAAAAGAAAAAGUAAUUGAACCAAAAUGACAAAAAAGGACUUAAUCAACCGCAAUAGUUGUUUAUCAUCCCUUGUGAUUAUGAAAAAAGGACUUAUCAACAAAACCAUGAAAGUCAAGUCAAAUAUUUCACGAUUCUCUAGAUGUCCGACCACUGAACUCCUUACUCAAAGGCGAACAAAGCAGAGAUAAGCUCAUUAGUAAGAUUCUAUUCUUAGUAAGAAGAGGUUAAAACAUUAGAGCACAUUUUUUUCAACUGUAACGCUAGAGAAGAGGCUUGGAAGACACUUCCUAUCAAAAGGGACGGUAUUCAAGAAAGCUCGUGGAAUUUCUGGAAGUGGUGGGAAGCGUUGCAGGGUGCUAGAAACAGAGUUAACGGCAUCAGUCAUAUAGAAGCCACAUCAAACUUCUUGUGGCAAUUGUGAAAAGCAAGGAAUGCCUGUAACUUCAACAAGGAAAGUACAUAAGGUAACCUGAUCUCAAGUAGAGCUCUAGAAGAAUGGCUGGAGUACAAACAGAUGUGGGACUUGGAGAAAAGGGAAAGCAAAAAGGAUGAUCCAGAAGUACCAACGAUGACCAUCACAAAAGAAAUUCAGGAUCAACAUGCCAUUCUAAUGUUCACAGAUGCAGCAAUGGACAAAAAGAGAAGUAGAGGGGGAUUGGGCAUCGCAGCAAAGGACCAUAAUGGAAAACUUGUCAAAACUUGGGCAAUCCCUACUGGAAUGAUGAAGGAUGCUGCCAUACUAGAAGCUGAAGCAAUUAGAUCAGCCAUGCUCAAAUCUCUGGAAGAAGGGUGGACAUUCAGAUUGUAAGUGUCUAGUAGAUAGAAUUAAUCACAAAUGUUUUGGGCUAUCUCUGUCAGAUGUGUUGGUAGAUGAUAUCAUACAUCUUAGCCAAUCCUUUUGGCGAUGUUCCUUCAUAUUUAUUGGAAGGAAAUAUCAUUGCACUAGUCAUGGUUUGACAAAAUUUGCCAUUAACCUAAUCGAUGAAACAAGAUAGGAGCUUGACUUCCGUGUGGCUUAGGAUUGAAGCCCACAAAGAUGUCCUGGCCGUGUGCCAGUAGUAUGUAUAUACUAGGAAUAUUGUAACCUUUCUCACAUAUAUAUUAAAUGAUGACAUUUUGACAAAAAAAAAAAAAGAUUCUAUUCUUAGUAAAUAAUUUCAACUUCGUCAAGCUGUAAGCGUCAAAAUUUCUACCCUAAAGGUGGGCGUAUUAUAAACGAAUAUCAAAACUCUAUCAACCUAAUCGUUCAUUUACAAUUUUGCCAUGAAGAAGUUCCUUAAAUAUGCUAUAACAACAGAGAGGGCAGGAACAACUAAGAGGUUUUAUAUGAAUAUUGCUGUGGGGUUUCUAUACGCUGUACACGUCUGCCUGCCGCUGCAAAACAACCAGAAGAGAUGCAGUGCCCAAUUAAGCCAAAACAAGCUCCUCUUCUUCGUUUUGUUGCUGCUGCUGUUGAUCUGUUAACAAUCCUUCACCAUGUGGAAGGAGAAGCCGUUUAAUUUGCUCAGAAGUUAAGGUCUCGUACUCAAGAAGUGCAUUGGCUAGGACAUGCAAUGCUUUCUCAUGCUGGCAAAAAAGAACAUCGAGAAAGAUCAAUUAAUGUCCAGUUAAUAAUCAGAUAAAGUUGAUGCUACAAACAAAUACACAUGCAACGAUAUGUGACGUAACAUGCAAUUCCUUGGGUGACAAUGUUUUGGCCAAUCAGUUUCAAGGUACUGACUACUUAUUUUCAGUCGUCCCUUGACUCUUAGAUCUGCAGACAGAUUUACCAUGCCAAAAGAAUGUCUCUCUUCCUGGCUCUCACUCUUUCGAUCAGUUCAAACAAAUUUCAUAUAUCAGAACUUCACCUUUGACUCAAUAACCACAUCCGUGCAGGAAGACUACAACUUUUCUCUUAAUUACAGUCCUGAAACCUGACAAAAGGAUUCUACCAGUUGAAGUUUGACUGGCCAGCAAGAUGUAAUACAUGGGAUCAAUCAUUGCUGCAACGUUGUUGUCAACAUUAAAAUAUAAGCUCUUUUUCCUCUACAUUAGUCAAUGAAAUUGUUAAGACUCGGACAUCAAAAGCUUUCCAAACACAAAUAUAGCAUCUCUUUUGGCCAUCUUCCCCCAAAACUCCCUUUCACAGAUACAGAGAUGUGAAAACCGUACCUUGUUGGCAUUGGAAAAAAGCAUAGCAACCUAGAGCAUAACCAUCCACUCCCUUAUCCUACUUUUGAUAAAUGCACAUGUUUUUGUUUUCUAAUCUUAAAAGAAAUAGCCCAUGUUUAAAUGCUCAAGGAUAUUUACUACUUUCCAAUUAGGCAUUUUGCCAUGAUGGUGACAAAAUUACUAAUUUGACUACUACAGAGAUUCAGAGUGAAAAUUUGCUAAUGUGUAAUGCAUUUUGCGUGAAAAGCACUUUACAACGUUUGCAGGAAUCAAAGAAGAAAGGUCAUAUAGUCAUAUGUAUCUAAGACCAACCUUUUUUAGCAGUGCUUUUACACGAUCAUAAGCUUCUCUCAAGAGCUUAACCACCUGUAAAUGACCAAAAAUACAAAUUGAUUACCAGUGAAAAACAUUUCACUACACCCUAAAAGCAUCAAAAUCCAAAAGCAUACUUCAGCAUCAAUCCGUGAUUGCAUUUCUGAACCCGGCCGCUCUUUAAUGUGGAUUGGUCCAAUUGCAUCACUCAUCCCACAGGUAGAUACCUGAAAAGUAAAGGAAGUACAUCUCAUACAGAAGAACAAUGGAGCUUUUUCUUAGAUGAGGCAGACAGAAGAACAAAACUAAUAUUAGCCACUAAGCUUGGAGAGAGAUAGGAACAUGAAACAAGCAUCAACCAUAUAUUGAGCUAAUUCUGUAGCUGUGUGGAGGUCACUACUAGCUCCAGUAGUAACAUGGUCCUGACCAAAGAUAAGCUCUUCUGCAACCCUUCCUCCCAUACAAACAUCAAGUCGAGCUAACAACUGCUUCUUGCUGAUUGAGGUCUCAUCAUUUGAUGGAAGCUGUGUAACCAUGCCCAAAGCAGAUCCACGAGGCAUGAUUGUUGCUUUGUGAAUUGGAUGUGCACCUUCAGUAUUAAAAGCAACAAUUGCAUGGCCACUCUCAUGAUAUGCAGUGAGCUGGAAAGAUAAGUUCAAAAUAAUGUAACAUUAUAAUGCCACAUAACCUACAUCAUUCAAGCAUUAAAAUAAAGGUAAAGCAAAAAUGAUAAAUUCAGGCCUUAACUGAUGCUAUUUAAUAUAAGUCCACUGCAACACAUCAAACAAGUCUUUUAAAUACUCCUGUUUUCAACAAAUCCUUCUUUACCAUAUUCUUUGACCAUUAAUACUUUCUCUGUACCCUCUCCAAUUUAUCCAGCAAAAAUUAAUACAAAGAAUCUGCAGUACACUUAAGCUGUCUAUGUUGGUCCUGAAGCCUAAUCCAGAACAGAUACAGGAGGAAGCAAGAAGCAUCUUGAAUUUCAAGUACAAACUAGCUUAAAAGAAUGAAAAGCUAAACUUCAGAAAAGCUGUCUAUAUUCUUAGAACCUACUGUUUGUAAUAGGGAUUUGGCACACCUUUUUUGACUCUUCAGACAGAUACAUAGUUUUCCGUUCCGUACCCAUGAUGAUCCUGUCUUUAGCAAACUCCAACUGCGUUGAUGUUAACUUCUCAGCACCUUCAACUGCAGCCUUGAUAGCAGCAAUGUUAACCAAGUUUGCAAGAUCUGCUCCAUAGUCAUGUUUUAAGAAAUAAGAUCAGAUGUAGUUCCUCAAGUGACUCACAUGAUCACAACCCCUUCAAAAGAAAGGGUGAACCAGACCAAAUUCACAGAAGUAAAAUUCAAAAUAUGUCCAGGUAACUGAUUUUUAUAAACUUUUUAGACAGAUUAUUAGCAAAGUAGUUGGGUUUGGAGGCAAUUGACAGAAAUUAAAGGAUCAGGGAUGUGAUCAAGCAUAACUAGUUUUGUUGCCAACGAACCUCAACCAUGUCUAGACAGAUAAAAUGACCCAGAUCAAGCAACUGGCCUCUUAUGUGGCCCUAAUACCACUAUAUGGUGAAAGUAACAAUGAAAUCAUUGGCGAGAUACUGACUUUAGGAAGGAAAAGUAAUUCAGGCCCGGAACUUCAAAUUAACUCAAGCCGAAACUUCAAAUUAACUCAAGUUGCAGAGAUGGUUCACCUUGCAGAACUUAGUGAGGAAAAAAGAAAAUGAAAAACAUGAACAAAAACAUGCCUGCCCCAUUGAACCCUGGUGUACCGCGAGCAAUUGCUUUCACAUCAACAUCAUCAGCUAAUGGUUUAUCCUGUAAGUAAAGCUCCAAUAUCUCUUGGCGACCCCGCACAUCUGGACUUGGAACAACAAUCUAGAAAUAUUUCAUCUCAUUGUUAGCUAAAGAGACCUGAAGAUAAUGAUUUAAUUGUAUCUCACUUUCAUUUUUAUUUUUGGUAAAUAAAAUUACUAAAUUCAAUACAAACAUCUAACAAUGUUGCAAGGUGGUUAUUGCUGGAGAACUCAGAAAGACGAGCCUAACAGUUCCCUCAACAGGUAAAGAGGGUAAAACCAGAAUGCCAAUUUACUGCAGCGCAAUAAAUUGUUCAAGAGAGAUGCUCGAUAAAAUAAAAUACCUGAAGAAAUAAAAUUUUGGAACUUACAUCAAGAUUUCACUGUCAGAUCAAGGAAGCAAAAGAAAUUUUAAUGCAGUCAAAUCUUUUCAAAUAACAGGUACGUCAGCAGAGAUUACAAGUCAUUCUUGAAAUGACAAAAGAUGGGCUAAUGAAAUAAAGAUAAAGAACUUUUUAGAAUGACAGCAAAAAAUUUUUGGUGUACCAUCUUGCAGAUGUAGAACAAAACAGAUAUUGACUAAACUUGAAAAUUGACCUGACAAUGCCCUAUAUCAAGUUCAAUAGCAAUCAACGAUGAAACAAGAAAUACUCAAGAUCUCAUGUCAUCGUCUUUGUAGGUUUAUUAAAAGACUUGCAUGACCAGGUUUAUCAAAAGACUUACAUGACGAUCAAAUCUACCAGGUCUUGUUAAAGCUGGAUCAAGUAUAUCAGGCAAGUUUGUGGCAGCCAUCACUAUUAUUCCCUGUAAUGCACAAGGAACAUAUUUGUACUCCACAAAGGAUGGAAAGAGCUAAUUUCUUAAUGUCUAAAUCAGUGUACCUCAUUCUGUUCAAAACCAUCCAUUUCAACAAGUAGUUGAUGAAGUGUUUUCUUCGUGUGACCUUCCCAUUGCUUUCGAGUUGAUCCAACAGCAUCAAUUUCAUCAAUAAAAAUAAUGCACGGAGCCUGGUGAGCCAAGAAGUUAAGGUUUAAAUUUGGGGAAAUUGCACAUCUCAAAAAAAAUGUUUCACAUGUUUCUCAUGCAGUCAAAGGGAUUUAGCGCAUCUCUAAGUAAAACAUUCAAACGGUUUAUUUAGAGAAAGAAACACUUUUUAUGAUGAUUAGUUUCAUUCAUAUAUCAAAGAAGAAGCAGAGACAAAAUUUACCUUUUUCUUAGCUGCUUGGAACAAGGAUCUUACACGUCGGGCACCAACUCCAACAAACCUAGGAUAAAGAAGAAAAGUGAAACUUUUUCCCAAUAAAAUGGAAAUUAAUUAAACCCAAUCACCAGAAAUAUUGGAAUACAUGAAUUUAAAAGUCCUGUGAAACUGAUGCAUGUAGUAAUCCAGCAAUUGGCGGCAUUCUUGUCUUCCAUAGUUCCAUUAACUGAAAAUAUAUUCCCAUUGUUGGAAUGACUUAAAAGGAGGCUAUUCCACCAGAUAUGGAAUUACUUAAUGAAUGAUAUUCAUUUUCAUUUCCAGUAAAGCAUCAAAAGUCAAUGCUCAUUCCUUAAUCUUUAAUUUUUAAGACAGAUACUAUCGAACAUGGCAACAAAAUGAAAACUUAAAUUCUGGGACUCAUACAAAACAUCCAAAACGCAUAUGGCAACAUGAACAGGCAAGAUAUCAAGGGUCAUUAUUGAAUGGUCUCACUAAAUCAUCAUGACUCACAAAAGAAAUUACUCCAAGCCACAAAGACAUGUAAAAAGAAAAUAAAAUAAUCAAACAAGUGGCUUACAUCUCUUCAAAUUCAGAGCCUGCUCUAUAAAAGAACGGUACCCCCGCUUCUCCAGCGAUUGCCUUCAAUUGAGACACACAAACCAAAACUCUUAGAAGGUAAUCAAACUAUCAAGAAAAGGACGAUAGAAAUUUCAAAAAUGGAAGUUUUGAUUAAGUAUCCAAAAUGAGAACAUGAGAAAUUAUUUUAGCACCAAUAACAAAGUAAGGAAAAAGCAUGUCUCUCAACUAAGCUUGAAUAAAUGUGUUACUCCAACUCCAAUUUCUUGCCAUUUACCACAGAUAAAUUUUUAAGCAUACACUUGUAGUUUGAGAUUGUGGUUUUUAUACAAAAAUAAUCUUGAAUUCCUUGCGCUUUCCAGAAAAGUGUACUUUGUUUCAGAAUCCUCAAAUUAGCAAAUCUUAAGCCACAUAAGUUUAACUGCUUAAAAAUGUACUGUGUUUCAGAAUGGUAAAAAAAGGGAAAAAGAAAAGAAAUUACUCUAAAAGUGAAAAAGACAAAGCAAUAGGACUUGGUAGAUCAAAAAUUUCAAUUGAUAAAAUGGGUAACCUUGGAAAAAGUUCUUACUCUAAAAGGGAAAUAAACAAGAGAUUUGGCAUAUCAAAACUUUCAAAAAUAUAAAUAGGCAUGCACUAAUUCAUAAAGCACGAGCAAAGGAACAAAAGGCAGGGAGCAAAUAACCCGCACAUGAACACUAAAAGAAAAUACCAAUUGUAUGAGCUAACAGUUGCUACCCUAAAUGGAUCACAAUAACACUUUGGCAAAACACACACACACACACGCACACACACUUGGCACUGAUCUAAGGUCAUGAAACACAUACACACACUUGGCAGUGAUCUAAGGUCAUGAAGUCUUGUAAAUAUUUUCAUAAGGUCAUGAAGUCUACACUGAUUCCAUAUACUUCUUCAGGAGUUCCUAUCUUUUUUUAUAUUUAUUUUCAUUAUUUUGGGAACAUGAUUUACACUGAUACGAGAAUUUCAAAUUGUUCAAGUGUAGAUAAAGCAGUUCUGUUUUUUUUUUCUUUUUCAUACAAUAGUUCCGUUAGCCAAGAAUAGAUUCCAAACACAUAAGAUCCUAUGAAAUGAAAUUGUAAAAUACCACGGACCAAUUAAACAUCACAAAAAAGGCAACUGCACCAACGUAUGACUGAAGCUAUAUCAGGGGAACGCAGGAAGCUGAAUGAUAAACCUAGUGAUAGCCGCAUCCAGAUGUUCAAGCACACACAAUCCAUUAUAAACAAAAAUUUCAGGAAUGCAACAGCUUACCUUGGCCAGUAAAGUUUUUCCAGUCCCAGGUGCUCCAGUUAAAAGAAUUCCCUGAAACCCAUUGCAAUCUAGUGGAUAACAACUUAGACAGACAGCUUUGAUAAUGGACAACAAUAUACAAAUGGACAGACCUUUGGCAAUUUGCCUCCUAGUCGAGUAAACUUUGAGGGGCUCUUGAGGUACUCAACAACCUCCUCAAGCUCUUGUUUAGCAUCAUCACAACCUUUAACAUCCUUGAAAGUUUUAACAUUCUGCAAUUAAAAGAAAUAUGGAAAUUUGAAUUUCAGUUUAGUAGUCCAAUACGUGCUAUAAACUGAAUUAAAAUCCCAUAUCAAUUCAGAUCACAUGCACUACCUGUGCAAAUUAUCAGAUGCAAUGCAGUACUUUAUCAAAUCACCAUGAGCAGUAGAAUUCGUAAGAGCAAAAAUUUUGUAAGUUAUUAUAGAAUAGAACCAAAAAGAUAUGACAAUUGUCAAGUUAAGAAUCCACAUGGCAUAACAUGCUGUGCAAUCAUCACAUUUUAAGAUAUUGAAGCAUACCUUGCUGUGAAGCAUUUUCAAGUGGAAAGUGUAAAUGAAAAAUCAGAUCGAAAGACGGAGGAAUUUUAAACAGGUGAAAUUUCCAGCUCUCUUCUGCUACUUUCAUAUAUAUAUAUAUAUAUAUAUAUAUAUAUAUAUAUAUCAGUUAAAUUACCAAGCAGUUCUCUUAUAAAAUACCAAUAAUUUAAAAUAAUGUGAGGCAGUGGACUCUGCCAAAAAUGGAAAAGUAGACUUUGACUUCAUAUGAAUUGGAUGAAGGAAACAAGUGAAGAGAGUUUGACAAUAACUGGUCCAAAUACCCACCUUUUCAGGCAUUACUUCUUUAUUCAAUUCUUUCGGGGCAUAGGAAGAACUAGAUCCAACACCUGAAGUUCCUAUCCCACCUAAGCUCCCAAUAUAUUUCUGAAGCGCAGCAGCACCCAUCAACCUAAAACCAACUCAAGAUUCCAUAGACGUUAUAAUUGCGCAUAUAUCAAAACAAAUUUGAGGAAUAAACACAAAACCUUACCACACCAAACCAACAGCUAUAGUGAACAAGAUAGUAGAGAUAAGCUCUUGUGCAAAACGUGAUGAUCUGUUGGAGACUUUAGGAUCAACCUACAACAGAAAGCAGUUACAACCAAGAUUCAAUAUAACAGACAGGGAAAUGUAGAUCAAAAACUAUGUGGAGCAACUAGAAGGAGAACGAGGAAAAUAUAAGAAUCCUACUCCAAUGACCAGAGUUAUGCUAAAGAGUUCUUUUAACAACACAAAUGCACAAGACUUUGCUCUUAAAUGAAGAAUUGGUGACAGGAAAUUCCUGCAAUUGCACUCAUUAUAAUCAUUACCAUUACAACAUGUAGUGGCUGCUUAUCAGAUAUGCCAGGGCUAAGAAAAGGUUCAUCCAUGUUGCCUGAGGCACGUUGUUUCAGCUCUUGCAACUACAUAAAUUCAAAGGUAACCAAAUGAGAGAAAACUGGCAGAUAAAUGGAACUAGUUAGACAAACAACAAUGGAACAUCUUCGGCUAAUUGAAUAGGAGCAAUGGCAGCAGUGGAAAUAUUAAUUGAAAAUUUGAUGGUUUCUAUCCAAGGCAUUGCAACAAAAGCUCAUAACUAAGACACAUCAAGACACAAAUGGACUUUGAUUUAGAUGAGAUUGGACUCAACAAGCAGUCCCUAUCACUUCCUUCCACUUUUGACGAUUGCCAUUAAGUCAGAGAAAAGGAAUGGAGUGACUGAAGCAAAAAUGGAAUAGACAAUCUACAAGCUAAUACCAAGGAAGGAAGACUAGAAGGCUUUCCAGAUUGCUCAUCAGGAAGAUAAUCAGCAAUGGCAUUAGUUGCCACAAGAGCUCGGAUGUACUCUGCAACCCCCCUACUAUCAACUGCAUGAUCUCUUUGCUCAAAACGGCGAAUAACUGACUCAGGGCUGAAAUAACAGAACAGAAAAUUACCACCAGAACCUAAGAAUCAAAUCAAAGGGAAUAAUAUUCUAGCUGCAGGGUAUUUGCUUUCGCUCAGUUUCUUUGUCUAAACAUCAAAACCAAAGUAAAUAACAAUAAAGGAUAUGCAGUCAACAUAAUUCAACACUUGAUCCAUGUAUUCAUCAUCCUAUUAAUGUAAGCAAUACAAUACUCCAGUUAAAAAAAAAAAUUUUUUUUUAAAGUCCACCCUUAAUUCAAGCUCCGAAACCAAGAAGUAACAACAAUAUAGAAAAGCCAGGGCCCAAACCUGUGCUUAUUGAGCUCGGCUAACAAAGCACUCUGCUUGGCUGCAUCCUUGGGAUUUGAGUCCGCCUCUGCAAUCAAGCGCUCGAGGCGCUUCUCUUGGCGCCAGAAGGGCCACCAACUAAACCAGGCUGGCAACAUAAGCUUCUCGAGCCCUUUCCUCGCUGUUGCAAAAAGUCCCAUGAAAAACACCACAAUUGGCAACUUACUCCUCACCCCCUCGCUCGACGUCCACUCACUCCCCGUGGCGCCGCUGGCAUUAUCAUCAGGUGGCCCCUCGGUGGCCUGAGGCGGUGCCGGUUCAAUCCCCGUAGCUUCACCAGAAGAAAGUUGACUACUAAAUAAGGAUUCAUUACUACUAGUAUUAACAUUAAGUUGUUGUUUUUCAGAACCUGAACACAAAUCAUUCUUAUCGGAAGAAGAAGAAGUUAAGUCAGUAACGUCAUCGGGAUGAAACGCACAGGCGACAAGCAACGGACAAUGGCGGCAAAAUCGAGAAGUUGAAGCAGGAUAACGAUGAAGAUGAUUAGUGAAAUAUAGUUUAGAAAGUAGAUACAAAUGAUGAUCAAAAGGAGGAGGAGGUAAGGGACUAAGAUGGUGGAGGCGUUUAUAGGAAGAUGACGAAGAAGAUACGUUACGGCUAGAGGGGAUAGGGAGAGAAGGGGGUUUGUAGAGAAUAGAAGCCUGAAGCGUAGUGGUCAUGCCUAGGCCUUCACUUGUUCGUAGGUUUUUAAAUUAGUUGAAUGCCGGAAUAAUUAAUGUGAUUGCCGACGGUAAUUAGGGUUUUAGGAAGAAGAAGAAGAAGAACUAAUAGGGUGGGGUCACUUAAAUUGAAUUCCAAAAGCAAUAAAUAGAAUUUUGGUUUCACCAGUGGAAGGAUAUAGGAAGCGAGUGGAGGAGGAGGAGGAGAGGGUUUUGCAGUGCGAGCCAGACGACCCACACGAUAUAUUUUCUUUGUUCAACGCUUAACAGGCAAAAUGGAGUGGGGACUGGAGGCUGGGGAGCGGAUCCGGUAAGGAAAAUCUUCUACUACUAGCUUGAGAAUUGAGAUGGACAGACAGAGAAGAAACCUUAUCCCCUACUCUUUUAACUCGACUGACAGAAAUUGGCGGUCUGCCUUCAUGCUCCUUUCUCUUUACUGCUUCAUUUCCUUUCUGGUUUCCUUUGUCGUUUCUUUAACUUAAGCUAAUCCUACCAUUAAUUUCCAAGCGCACAUCACUGCUACCUCCAAAAUCCCUUUUUCCAAAAAAAAAAAAAAAACCCCCCCUCCUCUCAAAUCUUAAUAGGAUUGCAAACGAAUCGAAUCGAGUCGAGUUUUAAACUAAUCGAGCAAGUCUCGACUAAAUUUUACCAAGUUCGAACUCGACGAGCUGGCAAUUUAUAACUCGAGUUCGAGAUUGAAAAAAUAAAAAUAAUUAUUUUAUUUUUAAAAAAAAAAAUAAUAUAAUAUUUUUUCUUAAUAAAUAAUAAAAUAUUAAGAAUAUAUAUAAAUAAUUUUACUAUUAAAAUAAAAAAUAAAAAAUAUAUAUACACUUAAAAUAAAAAAAUAUAUAAAAUAUUAUAUAUAUAUACUCGAGUUUAAUAUUUUAAACUCGAGUACGAACUUGAUUUCGACUCGAGCCAACUUGAGCUCGAUAUUAAUCGAGCUCGACUCGAACUGCUGGAUUCGUUUGCAGCGCUGCACCGUAGUGAAUACAGGAACCUCGCCACAUGAUAGUCCCAGCCAACUCAAUCAAUCAGGUGAUGGGUACGUCCCAUUUGUUCUAUUCUACUCUUCUUUUGUUUUUUUAUUAAGCUUAUUGUGUUCUAUUUAACUUGUCCUAUCGCCUACCUAGUGAUUAAAGGAGAGUUCUUAGGGUUUUCUUUUAUGAAGUUCAAGUUCAAAUCCCGUGCUUAGCAAGAGAAUUAAAAACAAAGUUGAAAAAGGAAAGUUGCCCUUGAUUUUUUUUUUUUGGUGUCAAUUCUCAUCAUAUCCUUCGAUUUUUAGACUGUAACAAUUAACCGUUGUAAUGUAUACAACUGUUAGACAUUAGUCCCAACAGUAACGAACCAACUUUAUCUUAUAAUCAUGGAAGUAAAAAUGUGGAUUAUUUUCAAAUGCAUAGUUUAUGCGUUCACUCAAUACAAAAGUAGUAUGCUCGUAUGUAUUACAAUUUGUCAAAAUUUAGCCAAAAGUUGUCUCUUGUAAUCUUGUUUUCCAUUAGUACAACGAAUAUGAUUCCAGUUUUGUAUAUCCAAUUAGGUUUAUACGAGCAGUUAGUGCAUGUUUUUUUAUCAAAUACACAGUUUUAAUAUGUCAAAAAUUCAGUAUAGUAGAAACAUCAGUUUUUAAAACAUGAGAUCAUAAUACUUUACUCACAUGCUAAACUCAACCCCUGAUACUUUGGUACUUCUCUAAAUUUUACCAACGGCAUUUUCUUGAGUCUUCUCUUCUGAAGUUAAAACUCAGGGUUCUUAUAGCCCCGAUUCAUUCACCUCUGAUAAAGUCACCUCAAGGCAUAAGUGAUUUAACUGCUGUCUACUCGUUAACACGACUAUCACAAUGAAAGAAUGUUACGUAAUUUCUUUAAAUGUCAAAGUCAAUCUUACAUCUCCGCUUACACAGAAAGAGGUAUUGCAUAAUUUUUGUAAAUCUCAGGAGUUGUUUGGUAAAUGAAUUUCAGGUCCAUUAAUGGGGUAUCAAAGGCAAUGAUAGAUGGAAUUUUUUGGCUUGUUUGGAAGUGAGUUUUUUGGCCAAAUUUUUUAGCUACAAGUUUUUUAACAACUUUAGCUACAGGAACCCAAAAAAACUUAUCAAAUUUUUUAAUCUACACACUUUAAAAUAUCAAAUACACAAAAAACUUCUAUCUUUCUUCUUCUUUCUCCCUCCACCCCAUCCACCAUACCUUCUUAUUCCGGCACCGGCGUUCCCAAAUUUUUUUUUCCCUUCCUUUCUCCCUCCCUGGCCAAACUCCCCCAACCGAUGCAGUAGCAGCAGUUACUUUCCUCCUACUCUGGUACUUAAAAACCUUUCAUCUAUCGAGAAAACCUACCCAGAUUCCAUCGAGCCUGCCUAGUUGACUUCUAAAGAGGUUGCAUUCCUCCUUGUAGGCAGAGGCAGCAUGAAAAUGAAAGUCAAACACAAGCAAGUCAAUCCAGCAGAGGAUGAAGAUGACCAGUUCGUUUGAAAGAAGAGAUCUUGAUCAAAUGGUCAAGCAGAAAGCACAAUUGACUUCAGUCACGCCAACGCUACGGCUGACGGGGGAACAGGGGAACAGAGGGGGUGGGGAUGGCGGGGGCAGAGGGGGUGGCGGGAAACGGGAAACGAGAAGGGGAACAGGGGAGGGGGCAACGAGAGAAGGGAGGGCUGGCGGGGGGAAGGGGUGGCGUGCGGGGGAAGGGGCUGGGGGGUAGCGGGGCCAGGCUGGCGAGGGAGGGGGAGGCGCAGGGCAGCGGGGGCCAGGCUUGUAGAGGGGAGGGGGAAGGGGCAGAGGGGCUGGGGGGCAACGGGGCGGGCUUGCAGAGAGGAGGGGGAAGGGGCAGGGGCUGGGAGGGAAGGGGUGGUGGGGGAAGGGUUGGCGGAUGGGGAGGCGGGGGGCAGCGGGGGCUGGGCUUGUAGAGGGGAGGGGGAAGGGGCAGAGGCUGGUGGGGGUGGCGGGGGAAAUGCAGAGCAGAGGAGAAGGGGAAAGGGAGGAGAGGAGUGGCGGGAGGGGGAAGGAAGAAGAAGAAGAAAAAGAAAGAGAGGAAAGAAAAGAAAAAGGAAAAAAAGAAAAAGAAAGAGAAAGAAAAAAAAAGAAAAGGAAAAGAAAUUCACCUCACAAAAACUUUUACAAAAUUUGUUAUCUUACAAAAACUACUAAAAAAAAUUUUUUCACCUUAUAAAACUUUUACAAAAUUUUUUCAAAAACUUCUACAGUGCACUACAGUAAAAUUUUAGACAAACUCCCAAAAAACUCAGGUUCCAAACAGCCCUUUGUUUGGUUAAUGUUGAUUGGAAUGAAUUAAUCGUAUUGAUUACCCUCCACUGUGGAUUUUUUUUAUUACCUACUUUUUUGUCUACUUUCAAACUCAUUCACCUUACUUUAUAAAAUAUGAAAAACAAAAAAAAAAUUCAGAAAAAGCUCCCCUCUUUCUACUCUUUGAUCCAAUUUAUUUUCUCCCAUUCCCUCUACCUCGAUCUCUCUCACCCCAUCGCCACUCUUCCCCAAUCUUUAUCUCUCUACCCCUCUCCUCUAUUUCCUUCCCUUUCCUCCAAUCUCUCUCUCUCUCCCUCGCCUCUUCUUGUCAUGCAAUUUUUAUUUGUUUACUCCCUCAUUUUUUUUAAAAUUUUAGUAUUUUCUCCCCUUUCUCUAUGCCACUCUUGUUGACCUUCCUAUCUUUUUUCUCCCCUUUCUUCCACUUGUGAAAUUCCCCCCCCCCCUCUCUCUCUCUCUCUCGCUCAAAACACCUUCGGGUGGAUGACAAACAAAAUUUUAUCAACCAGAGGCAAAAUUCGCAAGCUUGAUGGACCAUUGUUUUGGUUUCAAACUUUUGUGAUUGAAUCUUAUUAUUUGGGUUGAUUCUGAUGCCUAAUUGGCUAUGGAUUUUACUUUGUACGGUGAGGGCCAUUUUUGUUCGAAAUUUCAAGAGUUUGGUCUUAAUUUAGUUGGAGCGUUAGUGAUGCCGCUGAAAAUCAUGAUUGUGUUAAAGAUUUUUAUUUAUUUUUUAAGAAAUCAAAUAUGUAUAUCGAAGUCAGAAUCGAUGGCGUUGGGAAAUAUCCAACGAUCUAUGGCCGCCACUGGUAGUUGCACUUGUGGAGGUUAUAGUACUUGUAAUGUUUAAUGGUCAAAGGGGAGGAGGAAAGAGAAUAAAAAGGCGGGGAAAAGAGCAAGAGCAAGAGCAAAAGCAAAACUCCUGAAACUUUCUCCUGAAUUUAUAUAAUUACCAAACACUUUAAGAGUUUUUUUGCAAAACCAUUGUGAUUAACCAAUUAAUCAUACCUAUAGUGAUUGUGAUUGAAGAACUUUAACCAAACACCUCCUUAGAAUCAAUCUUACAUCGCGACCGAACAUCCAGCAUAGCUACGUACACAAAACGCACCCAAAUACUCAAUUGGUUCACCAAUGAGCUAGAGCGAGUCAGAGCAUAAAAUUAGAAACAGCAGAUAUGCCGAGGGACUAAGAAAAUUUGAGCUUGCCAGCCAAGGUCUACCGCUUUGUCAAACACUAUGAAGCAAAAUGCAUGCUUACUAAUACUUGGAAAGCUGAAUCUGGGAAUAUAAAUAGGAGAAUUCCCUCCCAGAAGAUGGUCCAAGUAACAAAUGCGGCCGUGCGGGGACUACAACUAAACGUAGCCAGGAAGAGGCGAAAAGUAAUAAAUUAACUGCAAACUAGUACGCCUGACGGCGAGAAAGUUAUAAAAGUUAAUAUACAUUACACCCAAGUCUACCGAGAGUUUUCAAAACCCAUUUAAAUCCACAAGAAGUUGAAGAGCAGAAUCUUGCCGUUGAAAUCCUAGAUAAUAGGUAAAAAGGAAAAAAUAUUUUAUAUUUUAAAUUGACAUCUCCCCAUAUCUGCCAGGCUUC
rnacentral:lncRNA from 1 species